rnacentral:tRNA from 1 species
GGGUGAGCGGCAGCGACGGUGGAGCUGCACCGGUCUGUAAAACCGGCACAUAGAAACGCCGCAGGUUCAAAUCCUGCUUCACCCACCA